UUCAAGANCCUCUAUCCCCA
rnacentral:tRNA from 1 species